AGGGAAUAAUAAUCAGAGACUCCCUACAAAUUUUGGUGAUUUUUGGAUAUAUAAAUAAAUUACAAAAAUUCAUAGAAGUUUCAUUUAUUAAACAAAAGAGGCAAUUUUCAUACACAUGUAAACUAUCAGAAACUAAGAUCUAACAUUUUUCUUGGGUUCUACUUAUUCCAGGGAAUCUACACAAAAAUUUCUAUGAUGUUUGGAUCAACACAAGAUUUAUUACACAAAUUCAAACAUAAAGCAGAAACUACAUAAAAAGAAAAAGAAAAACUCUGCAGCGAGCGGCCGGAAAUCGGCCCGCAGGCCGGCCC
rnacentral:lncRNA from 1 species